CCCAACCGCAUAGUUGGCGCACCGCCACCGUCCGUCCUCUCCAAACCUCCCAGUUCGCAACCUCCGUCGGCGCGCGCGCCGGUGACACCGCCCUUCCUGACCACAUCUAUCUUCCUUCCAUCGCCGGUGGCGGCAGCUCCGAUCGCAUCGCAUGACCAGGAGCCACACCCCGAAAUCCCUCGCCGUCCUGCUCCGUGCCAGGAUGCACCCCGACUCUAUCCCCUCGCCGCCGCCCGCUCCGUCACCCGCCGCCAGCCCCGAGCCCGGCCCCAGUGCCCGGACAGCCGCCGCCUCCUCCGUCCGCCACUGGCUCCACGCCUCAAUCGCCGCGGCCUCCCCGCCUCCCGCCGCCCUCGAGUGCUUCUCCGACGGGUACCGCUCCCUCGACCGAGGCGGCCGCCACGAGAUCCUCCGAUCCCUCGCCACAGACUACGACGUGCCCCGCGCGCGGGUUCGCGACCUCAUGCGCCAGUACGUGAGCGUCUCCGCCACCGGGGAGGGUGGGGACCAGCAGCCGGGGGCGGAGAGAGAGGAGGGCGGCGCCGCAUCGGCUUUGUACCGUAUGGAGAGGGGGCUCCGGGACGCCCUCCGGCCCAAGUACGCCGGGUUCCUCGAGGCCAUGAACGCGCAGCCUGGCGGGCUCAAGCUCCUCGCGGUCAUCCGAGCCGACCUCCUCGCCUUGCUGGGGGAGGAGAAUGCUCCAGUGCUGCGUGCAUUGGAUGGGUACUUGAAGGAGAAGCUCGUGACGUGGCUCAGCCCAGCGGCACUGGCACUCCACCAGAUAACCUGGGAUGAUCCUGCCUCCUUGCUCGAGAAGAUUGUGGCUUAUGAAGCUGUGCAUCCAAUCAGGAAUCUGAUAGACUUGAAGAGAAGGCUGGGUGUGGGCCGACGUUGUUUUGGUUACUUCCAUCCUGCGAUACCAGGGGAGCCCCUGAUUUUCAUCGAAGUUGCUCUCCUCAAAGAUAUGGCCACAUCUAUACAGGAAGUUUUGUUGGAUGUCCCUCCAAUCGCUGAAUGUGAAGCUAAAUGUGCACUGUUUUACUCAAUAUCGUCAACCCAGCCAGGCUUAUCAGGUAUUAAUCUGGGAAAGUUUCUUCUCAAGCGUGUCAUUGACAUGUUGAGAAAAGAUAUGCCUUCCGUGCAGAUUUUUGCUACUCUUAGCCCGAUACCUGGUUUCAUGCAAUGGCUUCUCGCUAAGUUGGCCUCUCAAAUAAAAUUAGCAGAGACAGAGAUGCAAGAGGGCAAUUCGAUAGAAGGUGCCAGUUCUACUUUCAGAGAAUCCAUCCUUUUCCCGGAGGAAGAGAAGAUGAUACACAGUGCCAUCGAUCAAGUCAACGGUAAACAAGGAAUUGAACUUUUGCAAGAUAUACUGAAAUCAAGUCAAUGGGCAAAGUCUGAAAAAUUAUCUGCUGCGCUGAAAUCUCCUCUUAUGCGUUUGUGUGUAAGGUAUCUUACCAGAGAGAAAAUACGAGGAAAAGCUCUAGAUGCUGUUGCUAAUUUUCACUUGCAAAAUGGAGCAAUGGUUGAGAGAAUAAACUGGAUGGCCGACCAAUCCGAGAAGGGCAUUGAACAAAGUGGAGGUAUCAUGGUCAAUUAUCUGUACAGGUUGGAGAAUAUAGAAGAAUAUGCAUCGUCUUAUUCGGCUACAGGGAUUAUCCAUACGUCAUCUAGCCUUUCCUAACAUGUUGAGCCACAUAUAUAUGAAAUGGAGAUGCAGUUGCUUCAUCACAUCAACACAUCGUAUCUGUGUGUGAUACACUCAACAAAGAUGAUUUACUACGAAAGGGUCUGACACCUCUUCUGCGGUUUAAUCCAGGGCACAUGUUUAGUUUGGUAGUGGCUGUUCCUUCCGUAUACUACCUUCUAAAAGCCUAGAGGAGAUAUGAACUGAAGACUCGGCUAGCUCUUUAUCCCUUCCACUUUGGGAACCGUAGCAGAAAAUACAUGUAUUUAUAUCUUGCACAUGAACAUGCAAAGGAACACAUACUGCAAAUUACUGGUCACAGUGGUGCACCCUGCGGCCAGAGUUCAAAUCCCGUCGGGAGCGAAUUUUGCGAAUUUCUGGUUCCUCACCCGGGUGGGCUUCUUCUAUAAAAAUAUGUCCUGGGUGCUAGUGCCCAUGGAUCUCAUUUUAAUUUGUGGAGCAAAAUCUGAUAGGCCGCAGGGUAGCGGUUGACAUUGUUGCCUUGUAACAGCGCAAGCCGUUUUCUUUUUGAAAUUGCUAAAACUAAGCUGGAAUGCGACAAGAUUUGUGCUGUGCUGUUGGGCGGCCCGUUA